rnacentral:lncRNA from 1 species
AUGGGCAAGGACAAGGUAUUAUUGGUGGCACUAGUUCCAACAGACCCGGCCACUGACUACCCACUUGUUUAUCCAGUAGUAAAAUGCAACAUGAGCAGAUUAUGGGGUAACAAGUAUGGUAAUGACCUAUUUGGCUAUUUCCCUCUGCUGCUCCAGAUCUUGCGCGUCACUGCCUGCUCACCAGCACGCAGGAGCAAAGCUUCCCAUGUGCCUGAUGUCGCGCCGGUGGUGUGCAAUUCCGGCGACAACGACGGCGACGGCUAUAAUAAUCGAUCAUGGGCGCUCGUAAUGAAGCUUCUUUCAGUUAUUGGGAUCAGGAAACUAUUUUAAAUUCUCGAGA